rnacentral:lncRNA from 1 species
GGUAGGACGAUCAAUUGUAUUUUGCUUCCGUUCACAUUGGAUUAUUGGUUACUAGGGGAGGCUAGGGAUAACUAGCCGAUAAUUAAUAAUAGGCUCUUUUCACCAAGGGAUUGGGUUAAGGGUAGGCUAGAAAGUUUGCAUGGCAAUUGGAUAAACAAGUGAAGUAAAUAAGAAGAGUAGAUAUGUGAGAGUGGAUAAGAUGAAAUUGUAAACCCCAACAACACCAUUCAUCCAUAGUUUUUCCUCAACCAUUGAUUCACUGCAUUUGCAUGUUUAAUUCUAUUUUUCCAUUUAACAAUCAAAACUUUAUUCUUUUCUCAAGUCUUAUGAAAUUAGGUUACAUGAAAGUUAAGGCCUAAGAGUCCUUUGGGAAAC